GGGCGGCGAGGCGGAGGCGCGCGUCGCCGCGCUCGCCGCGCGCGGCGAUAUCGUCGAUCGCAACGGCGCGCCGCUCGCC
rnacentral:tRNA from 1 species